ACUCCUACGGGAGGCAGCAGUGGGUAAUAUUGCACAAUGGGGCCAAGCGUGAUGCAGCCAUGCCGCGUGUAUGAAGAAGGCCUUCGGGUUGUAAAGUACUUUCAGCGGGGAGAAGGCGACAAGGUUAAUCACCAAUCGAUGACG
rnacentral:rRNA from 1 species